rnacentral:rRNA from 1 species
CCUACGGGUGGCAGCAGUGGGGAAUAUUGCACAAUGGGGGAAACCCUGAUGCAGCGACGCCGCGUGAGUGAAGAAGUAUUUCGGUAUGUAAAGCUCUAUCAUCAGGGAAGAAAAUGACGGUAACUGAUUAAGAAGCCCCUGCUAACUACUUGCCAGCAUCCGCGGUAAUACGUAGGGGGCAAGCGUUAUCCGGAUUUACUGGUGGUAAAGGGAGCGUAGACGGCAGCGCAAGUCUGAAGUGAAAUGCCGUGGCUUAACCCCGGAACUGCAUUGGAAACUGGGCAGCUAGAGUGCAGAAGAGGUAAGUGGAAUUCCAAGUGUAGCGGUGAAAUGCGUAGAUAUUAGGAGGAACACCAGUGGCGAAGGCGGCUUACUGGACUGUAACUGACGUUGAGGCUCGAAAGCGUGGGGAGCAAACAGGAUUAGAUACCCUUGUAGUC